AUUGAACGCUGGCGGCAGGCCUAACACAUGCAAGUCGAGCGAGCGGCGGACGGGUGAGUAAUGUAUGGGGACUGCCCGAUAGAGGGGGAUAACUACUGGAAACGGUGGCUAAUACCGCAUACUAUCGGAUAACCCAUAUGGGAUUAGCUAGUAGGUGGGGUAAAGGCUCACCUAGGCGACGAUCUCUAGAUGGUCUGAGAGGAUGAUCGGCCGAACUGGGACAGUGACACGGCCCAAACGCCUACGGAGGCAGCGGUGGGGAAUGUUGCGAAAUGGGCGAAAGCCUGAUGCAGCGAUGCCGCGUGUAUGAGGAGGGGCUUAGGGUUGUAAGGUACUAACAGCGGGGAGGCGUUAGCCGCAGAAGAAGCACCGGCUAACUACGUGCCAGCAGCCGCGGUAAUAC
rnacentral:rRNA from 1 species